rnacentral:rRNA from 1 species
CCUACGGGCGGCAGCAGUGGGGAAUAUUGGACAAUGGGGGGAACCCUGAUCCAGCCAUGCCGCGUGUGUGAAGAAGGCCCUCGGGUUGUAAAGCACUUUCAGUGAGGAAGAACGCCUGGUGGUUAAUACCCAUCAGGAAAGACAUCACUCACAGAAGAAGCACCGGCUAACUCCGUGCCAGCAGCCGCGGUAAUACGGAGGGUGCGGGCGUUAAUCGGAAUUACUGGGCGUAAAGCGCGCGUAGGUGGCUUGAUAAGCCGGUUGUGAAAGCCCCGGGCUCAACCUGGGAACGGCAUCCGGAACUGUCAAGCUAGAGUGCAGGAGAGGAAGGUAGAAUUCCCGGUGUAGCGGUGAAAUGCGUAGAGAUCGGGAGGAAUACCAGUGGCGAAGGCGGCCUUCUGGACUGACACUGACACUGAGGUGCGAAAGCGUGGGUAGCAAACAGGAUUAGAUACCCCAGUAGUC